rnacentral:tRNA from 1 species
AUUUAAAUAGUUUAUAAAAAUAUAAGAUUGUGGGGCUUAAGAUAAGGUCGAUCCUUUUUAGAUA